rnacentral:rRNA from 1 species
GAAUGUGAUCAUACUAGUACUAAUAUACCGGAUCCCAUCAGAACUCCGAAGUUCAAUGUUAAACGUGCUUGGACGAGAGUAGUACUAGGAUGGGUGACUCUUUAAGAAGUCCUCGUGUUGCAUCUU